rnacentral:rRNA from 1 species
UACAGAGGGUGCGAGCGUUGUCCGGAAUCACUGGGCGUAAAGGGCGCGUAGGUGGCCUGUGGAAGUCUGCGGUGAAAGCCCGGCGCUCAACGCCGGGUCGGCCGUGGAUACUCUCGGGCUCGAGCUUACUAGAGGCAGAUGGAAUUCCGGGUGUAGCGGUGGAAUGCGUAGAGAUCCGGAAGAACACCGGUGGCGAAGGCGGUCUGCUGGGGUAAUGCUGACACUGAUGCGCGACAGCGUGGGGAGCAAACAGG